rnacentral:rRNA from 1 species
UUUUACAAUGGAGAGUUUGAUCCUGGCUCAGGAUGAACGCUAGCGGCAGGCCUAAUACAUGCAAGUCGAACGAUACUCUCCAGCUUGCUGGAGGGAAAAGUGGCGCACGGGUGCGUAACGCGUAUGCAACCUACCUUAAUCAGGGGGAUAGCCCGAAGAAAUUCGGAUUAACACCGCAUAAAAUCACAGUACAGCAUUGUACAAUGAUCAAAUAUUUAUAGGAUUAAGAUGGGCAUGCGUGUCAUUAGUUAGUUGGCGGGGUAACGGCCCACCAAGACCACGAUGACUAGGGGAUCUGAGAGGAUGACCCCCCACACUGGUACUGAGACACGGACCAGACUCCUACGGGAG